AUUGAACGCUGGCGGCAUGCCUUACACAUGCAAGUCGAACGGUAACGGGCCUUCGGGUGCCGACGAGUGGCGAACGGGUGAGUAAUGUAUCGGAACGUACCUUUCAGUGGGGGAUAACGUAGCGAAAGUUACGCUAAUACCGCAUAUUCUGUGAGCAGGAAAGCGGGGGAUCGCAAGACCUCGCGCUUCCGGAGCGGCCGAUGUCGGAUUAGCUCGUUGGCGGGGUAAAGGCCCACCAAGGCAACGAUCCGUAGCUGGUCUGAGAGGACGACCAGCCACACUGGGACUGAGACACGGCCCAGACUCCUACGGGAGGCAGCAGUGGGGAAUUUUGGACAAUGGACGCAAGUCUGAUCCAGCCAUGCCGCGUGCGGGAAGAAGGCCUUCGGGUUGUAAACCGCUUUUGUCAGGGAAGAAACGCUCUGGGUUAAUACCUCGGGGUAAUGACGGUACCUGAAGAAUAAGCACCGGCUAACUACGUGCCAGCCGCCGCGGUAACAC
rnacentral:rRNA from 1 species